rnacentral:lncRNA from 1 species
GUCAUCCAAGUGAGAGGGUUAGCGCUAUAAAACCAGGUUUAAUCCACCAUUUUCUACAUUUGAAAAUGCCUGUACCAAGUCUGGAUUAUGACAGAUCUUUUCCAUUCGUUUUUGAUGCGUUUUGUUAUUUGAUUUUGCCAUGUGAUUAUGGACUUUCCGAGUUGAUUUUCCUCUAAGUUCAGUAUUUUUGUGAUUUUACUUUUCACA